GAAUUUUUCUGGUUGUUUUGCAGGUGAGGGUUUGGGUGCAUUGCAUUCUCCCUUCACACACACACUUUAUGCAUAUCAUGAGUGGGGCCCUAUACCCGGGUCUGAGCGAAGUUUAGAAUUAGAGGGGUUGUGUAGCGGUGCCACUUGGGCCAUACUGCCUGUUUAGCUAUCGUGAGAACCUCAGCUAGAGUCUGUUCUCUUCAUUUGUAUUUUCACACCUAGUUGAUUACUCGACUUUUGUGGAGAUGCUGU
rnacentral:lncRNA from 1 species